ACAUCCAGAGAACUUAGCAGAGAUGCUUUGGUGCCUUCGGGAACUCUGAGACAGGUGCUGCAUGGCUGUCGUCAGCUCGUGUUGUGAAAUGUUGGGUUAAGUCCCGNAACGAGCGCAACCCUUAUCCUUUGUUGCCAGCGAUUCGGUCGGGAACUCAAAGGAGACUGCCGGUGAUAAACCGGAGGAAGGUGGGGAUGACGUCAAGUCAUCAUGGCCCUUACGGCCAGGGCUACACACGUGCUACAAUGGCGCAUACAAAGAGAAGCGACCUCGCGAGAGCAAGCGGACCUCAUAAAGUGCGUCGUAGUCCGGAUUGGAGUCUGCAACUCGACUCCAUGAAGUCGGAAUCGCUAGUAAUCGUAGAUCAGAAUGCUACGGUGAAUACGUUCCCGGGCCUUGUACACACCGCCCGUCACACCAUGGGAGUGGGUUGCAAAAGAAGUAGGUAGCUUAACCUUCGGGAGGGCGCUUACCACUUUGUGAUUCAUGACUGGGGUGAAGUCGUAACAAGGUAAGCGUACGUGU
rnacentral:rRNA from 1 species